rnacentral:rRNA from 1 species
UACGGAGGGUGCGAGCGUUAUCCGGAUUCACUGGGUUUAAAGGGUGCGUAGGUGGGCUGUUAAGUCAGUGGUGAAAUCUCCGGGCUCAACCCGGAAACUGCCAUUGAUACUAUCAGUCUUGAAUAUCGUUGAGGUAAGCGGAAUAUGUCAUGUAGCGGUGAAAUGCUUAGAUACGAACAUAGAACACCAAUUGCGAAGGCAGCUUGCUAACCGAAUAUUGACACUGAGGCACGAAAGCGUGGGGAUCAAACAGGA